rnacentral:rRNA from 1 species
UACGUAGGGGGCAAGCGUUAUCCGGAAUUACUGGGUGUAAAGGGUGAGUAGGCGGCAUGGUAAGCCAGAUGUGAAAGCCUCGGGCUUAACCCAAGGAUUGCAUUUGGAACUAUCAAGCUAGAGUACAGGAGAGGAAAGCGGAAUUCCUAGUGUAGCGGUGAAAUGCGUAGAUAUUAGGAAGAACACCAGUGGCGAAGGCGGCUUUCUGGACUGAAACUGACGCUGAGGCACGAAAGCGUGGGGAGCGAACAGG